AUAAAGUGACUGAGGUAUAAGUGGUAGACUGUAAAUCUAUAUACGAGAUAAAACUCCUUUAUAA
rnacentral:tRNA from 1 species